GAGACACGGAGAGAAACACGGGGAGAGACACACGGAGAGAGACACGGGGAGAGAGACACGGAGAGACGGUGACGGGAGCACUCUUCAACUUCUCGCUGCACAACCAGAGACAUGUGGCUUGUGUCUACAGAAAGGACAGGUUCGUGGGGAUCCAUCUGUAUGCGGUGCGCUUCGAGGACUCGCGGUUUGAGUCUUGCGUCUUUGACGACGUCUCCUCCUCACGCCUCGUCUUCUCCAACUGCACCGUCAUGGACACCCUCUUCAUCAACACGGAUAUCCCCAAAUCGGCGUUUCAAGACAGCAUCCUCAUUAACACCUCCUUCCUCACCCGGAGGGGUGAGGAGAGGGGUGAGGAGCGGGGUGAGGAGAGGG